rnacentral:rRNA from 1 species
UACGUAGGGUCCAAGCGUUGUCCGGAUUUAUUGGGCGUAAAGAGCUCGUAGGCGGCUCAGUAAGUCGGAUGUGAAAACUCGGGGCUCAACCCCGAGACGCCAUCCGAUACUGCUGUGGCUUGAGUCUGGUAGGGGAACACGGAAUUCCUGGUGUAGCGGUGGAAUGCGCAGAUAUCAGGAGGAACACCGGUGGCGAAGGCGGGUCUCUGGGCAGUAACUGACGCUGAGGAGCGAAAGCGUGGGGAGCGAACAGG